ensembl:lncRNA
GGAGUUUCGAAGCAAGCAGGUUAUCUGUCAGCCGGGGAUGAAAGGGCUGAAGUUUAAUUUCAAGAGGUUCUCAAAGAGACAAGGCAGAAAAGCACUGUUCUUAGCAAAUUAAUCUCUUUGUAUGGGAAAAAUAAGGCUCAAGCUUUCUGGGAUAUGCAGCCAUGUAACCUCCAUCAUGGGAUUUUUGCAGCCAAACACUACAAUAACCAGCACACCCAGCAACAAAAUCCAAUAUCGACAUAUGAAAAGAUACAACACAGAUGUGACUGGAUUUGAAGAGGCAAAGAGAUUCUUAUCCAGCACAGCUGGAUUCAACCUGCCCUUUUCACGCUUCAGUGGCUUUAAUUUAACUCCAGAUCAUGCAGCUCAAGCAAAAUCUUGUUUAUUUGACAGUAAUGUUCUCAGUAGAUGUCCCCAUAUAACUCAAAGCUGACUACAAAAAUGGCAGAGCUGUAGCUUGCCAGGCUUUCUAUCCUGCUUCCCCAGGACCUUCACACCUGACCCUGCAGACUGCUGGUCCUGGAGAUACUCCAUGCAUGGCCUCUUUGACUCAGCUUCUCAAGAGCAGGAGGGAUGAAAAGCGAAGUUGUGCAUCUCCACGGAUAUUCUCUACUGCAAGAGACAUACUUUCCACCUCUAAAUAUGCCAUGGACACAGUUCUACUGCUUUGAGGGAUCUGAAUAUUAUUCAGACAAAUUCACUGGGAGAGUGUUCAGGAAAAAAGCCACUGUAUGUUUAUCUUGUCAUAUUUUCCCUUAUGUCACCACUGUUGACUGUAAUACUGGGCUAGAAGGCCACAGUGCAGUUGUUUUAACGUUGUUUUGUGCAAAUUAAUAUGACUCUUGAGUUUGCUCUCUCUGGUUCCAGACCAAAGUGCAUGAGAUGAGCACAGGAGUGGGAUGAGAGUCAGUUCAGUGCCAUCCCUGAAAUGAGGGGAGAGAAAUAUUGUAACAGCACAGUGAGAACAUUGCAUUGGAGCACUGGAACAUCCCCGGAAGUUUUCAAGAAACAUGGAGAUGUGACACUGAUGGAUAUGGUUUAAUGGGCACGGUGGGAGUGGAUUGACUGUUGGUCUGGAUGAUCUUAGAGGUCUUUUCCCACCUUGAUGAUCCUAUGAUUCUGAUUGCCCUUAAACUAGGUAGGCCCGGAGGCUCAGAUGUAUCAGCUACUUCUUCAGACUUCUAUCCCCCUUACAAUCGAGAUAGAGGCUAUGAGAUCUAGACAUACACACGAACAAAUAUGGGAAAGGAUGAGGUUGAUGAGAAAGUGGUUUAUAUCUGUGCCUUCAACUUGGCCUGAACUACUUGGAUAGUGGAGACGAACAGUUCUAUAUGUAGGUGUUGGAUGUUUUGAAUCCAGUUUCUUCCACACUGGAUCCCAGCAUAAAGCAUCAUACUUCAAGAAGGAGGCAGUGCAGAAAUCCAUGGAGACAUGUGAGCAACUGGUGUUGAGGGGGUCUUAUCCAUGCCAGGCACUAGAGGGGAUAAAGCAUGAGAGCUGAGAAAGAUCAGUACAGAGACCAGGAUUACAUCUGCCUGCACUAAAGAAGUGCUUCGGGACAAGACUUCUCCACCUGAGCCUGCCUGCUUCAAUCCCUCAAUCCCCUGUUCUCCUCUAUUAAACAUGAAUAAAAAUAAUGAAAUGGUGGGCCUUUGCAUUGGUCAGAGCAUUAUUUCUGUCUUUCAUGGACAGAGUGGUAAUUUUCAUGCAGAAAUAACUCUGGACAGAGUUAUUAAAAGAUUAAAAAACACUCCCAAAAUGAAAAAAAAAAAAAAAAGAGGGAAAAAGAAAUACAGGCUGAAAAAACAAAUAUCCUUACCAGAACUCAGGGGCGUUUCUCAUAACAUCUUGCCUAUGUUAUGAAGUCUGAUUUAUUUUCUAAAAAUGAAAAAAAAAAAAAAAAAGAUGAGGUAGACUGGAACACUUUGCUGAAAUUCAUAUGACCUGCUGAUAAACCAAAUUAAAAGUCUCCUGUUGUAUCCUCGUGUAGUCCUGCAGCAGCAAGACUGCUCUGCAAUCAUGUUGAUUCCUGCAAUGGCACAAAGGUCGUUGCUUUGCUUGUGUUUUUGAUAGGCUCCUGUGUUCUUCUCAUUGUAGCACAUAGUUCACCUUCUAUAUGGGUGGAAGUACCUGUGGUGCAGCAUGAGUGAUGCUGAGAGCCAAGGGGAAAGUCCCCAGGGCUCAUGACUGCGUCAUGGAUUUAUGCCAGCCACAGGCAGGUGAUUGCCUUGUAUGGCAAAUAAAUGGUGAAGCAGUUACAGGUGGCCCCGUGUUGACAGUUCAGGGAAAUACCAUGAAAAUUAUGCGGAGAGAUUAGAAAAUAAAAUCUUAACAAGGAAUGGAAAAGCUGUGAUUUCUCUUCAAGUCUACCUCAUUAGAAAUGGCUGUCUGCAAAAGGAUGGAGGAUUUUAGAAGACUUGAGCACGAAGCUCCAAGACCCACUGCAAACAGCUUUGAUACCAGCAUGCUGUAUCACUGCUGGCUUCAGCUCCUUCUUCAAUAUAAAGGUGAACAUACAACAUCAAGCAGGGAGAACAGAUGUAUUUAUACAGUUGCUAACAUUUAUCUGAGCCAGCAGAUGCUAGGCAUGUCUUAAAUACCUCUACUAUUUUUUAUUUUUUUUUAACACAACAAGUCUCAUAGAGAUGAAGUCACUCUCCAAGGUGACUUCGGGACACACGACUUCAAAGCAGCCCUGGACUUUUGCCUUAUGUCUACAGCAGGUCUUUUACAGCUUUAUACACACUUGUCUCUUGAGAAGAUCAAAAUAAAGCAGGGUGUUUCACUUUCUAUCCUCUUGUCAUUAAAAUGGUAUAGAAGCUUUAUAGUAGGCUGCAGCUCAGGUCCAAGUAUGGAGUUAGAGGAAACUCAAUGUGCCGGCCAUAAAAAAUAAUGAAACAACAGCGUGCCGCCUCCCUCAUCAUUACAGUUUGGCAUCACGAGAGUGUGGUAUUUAUUAACUUCAGCCUUUGGAGCUGACAUCACUGCAGAGUUGGGGUCCGGGAAAUCUCUGAGUCAUAUGGACCACAGAGCCAGGAAAUGUCGUCAAAAGAUAAAGUAAAUAAAACAAAUAUUGAAGUGAAAGGAAUGGCAAGCUGGCAGUAGCUUCCUGAAGGAAGCCACAGGCAUUGAGAGCCAGCUCCAGGCUGGUCGGAACUGGGAACAGACUGUAGUCGUGGGUUAAAUGUCAGCAUUGAGCUCAGCUGACAAAUGAAGGCAGAGCUUCUUGCUUAAUGAUGUCAAAGAAGAGCGAGGUGAUGUGCUCAAAUGUGACCCACGGCCCAGGAAUGUAAACAAGAGUCCUUCACAGCUCACUGCAAAAGCAAUAAGUGCCUCUGCGGGGAAAGCAGGACAUGCUUCGAUCUCUGUUAAUUUCCCUACCAGAUCCAAUCUCCUGAUCUAUGGAUUAGGGCUGGAUGAUAACGAAGACUUUGCAUUCUCAGUGGCUCUAAAGGCAGCUAGUGUCAGCUUGGUAUUGGGAUGAGGGGGUGCUGUUGGUGUGACGCACAGCUUUGGGUGGACAAAAAAUUGUUUUGAAUCCUCCUCAAGUUCAGCAAAUGUCUGCAGAUGAAGAAAAUAAGUUGGAAAUGAUUAUUAUUCUUUUAAAGCUAGGAUUCAGGCAUCUUCUAUUAGUCUUUGCCUUUUCAAGCAGUUUUCUUAACUACUUUGUUUUCCCACAUUUUCUUAGUGGAAGUUUUUUUUUCAUAGAAUCAUAGAAUGGCUUAGGUUGGAAAAGACCUUAAAGAUCACCCAGCUCCAAUCCCCUGCCAUGGACUGGUUGCCACCCACCAGAUUGGGAUGCCCAGGGUCCAUCCAACCUGUCCUUGAGCACCUCUGGGGAUGGGGCACCCACAGCCUCUCUGGGCACAACUUCUCUAGAUAGCAGAAAAAAGGAAAUAUUCUUGGGGAGGGGUAAAGGGGAGCCAAAGACCCAGGAGGACCCAUUGCUUUGCACUGGCUUUCCCUGACCUCCAUGUGAUGUGAUGGCCUGCCUGGAACCACACACGGCUAAGCCUGGGCAUGAAAAACUGCAAAGAAAACGUUGAAAAACUAAACAAAAAAUGAUUAAAAAAUAUUUUUUCCUAUUUUAAACUAGCUUUCCCAUGAGAGCUUGACUACACUGAUGAAGGACUUUGUACAAAGAAGCAGAGAACCAGGCAAGCAGAGAAUUAGACUACAUUCAUGCAUCAGUGAAAGGGGAACUGUCUGAUGACUUCCGGCAGAGCUGGCAUGCUUUUGCCAGAGCUGCUGAAGACAUUUAAGUUUCACUUCACUGUGGGAACUUUGUCUGUGGCUUGAGAUUUAUUUUGCUAUGCAAAGCUUUUGGCAUCGUGUGCUGAAGCAUGGCAAAAUUUAAUUUGUCCUUAUUUUUUGUUUUUCUUUUUCUUCUGCAGUUGCAGCCCUGUCUGGAGGAAUUGGAAGGCUGGGGGAUUCUGUGCCUUUGCACAGCUCUAGUUCUAGCACUGGUUGUGUCUGACGGUGGAGCAGGAAGUGGGCAUUUUCACUCUCCAGUCUCUGCUCCUCGUCUGUAGCUCUGCAGGUUCAGGGAAGAGGAAGUCACUGGUUUACACUUCCUUUCAGGUGCAGCCUUUUGUAGCGUGACUCAUUUUGUGCUCAUCUCUGACAUGUAACCUUGCACUUGCCAUCCCCUCUCCUCCUGCAGCCUUUCUGUGCUUGGCUCCUUCUGGACCCCCAUGGCUGCACAGGGGAGCCGUUCACACAAGGCCUACCCACAAGGCCUGAAGUGCAUCCAGUGCCAUCCCACCGGCCUUGCUGUUUAAUCCCAUACAUUUGCACUGCUUUAUCAUAAGUCCUUGCCUUUUGCCCUCUUUUAAACGCUUUGACCUCUUACGAGGCUUACUGCUACUUUGCGCCAGAUUUUGGUAGGCUCUGGAAGUCUAUGAUGACUGAUGCUGGAUAAGGCAGGAAGGGUUGGCAUUGUAAGCAUAUGUGGAAAUGCAAUCUGAUUAAAAAAAAAAAAAGAAUUUGGG